rnacentral:rRNA from 1 species
UACGUAGGGGGCCAGCGUUGUUCGGAAUUACUGGGUGUAAAGGGUUCGUAGGCGGUGUGGCAAGUUGGGAGUGAAAUCUCUGGGCUCAACCCAGAGACGGCUUCCAAAACUGCCGUGCUUGAGUGUGGGAGAGGCUCGUGGAAUUGCAGGUGUAGCGGUGAAAUGCGUAGAUAUCGUAAGGAAGACCAGUGGCGAAGGCGGGUCUCUGGACAGUUCCUGACGCUGAGGCACGAAGGCCAGGGGAGCAAACGGG